GACACGGCCCAGACUCCUACGGGAGGCAGCAGUGGGGAAUAUUGCACAAUGGGCGCAAGCCUGAUGCAGCCAUGCCGCGUGUAUGAAGAAGGCCUUAGGGUUGUAAAGUACUUUCAGCGGGGAGGAAGGUGAUAAGGUUAAUACCCUUAUCAAUUGACGUUACCCGCAGAAGAAGCACCGGCUAACUCCGUGCCAGCAGCCCGCGGUAA
rnacentral:rRNA from 1 species